rnacentral:rRNA from 1 species
GUGCACGCUGGCGGUAGGCCUAACACAUGCCAGUCGAACGGCAGCACAGUAAGAGCUUGCUCUUACGGGUGGCGAGUGGCGGACGGGUGAGGAAUACAUCGGAAUCUACUUUUUCGUGGGGGAUAACGUAGGGAAACUUACGCUAAUACCGCAUACGACCUACGGGUGAAAGCAGGGGAUCUUCGGACCUUGCGCGAUUGAAUGAGCCGAUGUCGGAUUAGCUAGUUGGCGGGGUAAAGGCCCACCAAGGCGACGAUCCGUAGCUGGUCUGAGAGGAUGAUCAGCCACACUGGAACUGAGACACGGUCCAGACUCCUACAGGAGGCAGCAGUGGGGAAUAUUGGACAAUGGGCGCAAGCCUGAUCCAGCCAUACCGCGUGGGUGAAGAAGGCCUUCGGGUUGUAAAGCCCUUUUGUUGGGAAAGAAAAGCAGCAGGUUAAUACCCCGCUGUUCUGACGGUACCCAAAGAAUAAGCACCGGCUAACUUCGU